rnacentral:sRNA from 1 species
UAAUAACGACCGAGAGGAUGAUGGGUGGCCGAUGGAUAACUAACCUAUUUUUUAUCAUUUGAAAUUGCAUAUUUCAAAUCAUAUAACAUAGGAUUAGUCUGCCCAUUUUCUUUUAACUGUAAAGCUAUUAACAAUAGCUUAUUAGAGUAUGCAAAACGCGGCUAAUCCUUCCAAAAUAUUGGGAGGAUUUUUUU